rnacentral:rRNA from 1 species
GUGAGGAAUAUUGGUCAAUGGACGAGAGUCUGAACCAGCCAAGUCGCGUGAAGGAAGACGGUUCUAUGAAUUGUAAACUUCUUUUGUGCAGGAAUAAAGUGGGUUACGUGUAACCUUUUGUAUGUACUGUACGAAUAAGGAUCGGCUAACUCCGUGCCAGCAGCCGAGGUAAUACGGAGGAUCCGAGCGUUAUCCGGAUUUAUUGGGUUUAAAGGGUGCGUAGGUGGAUUGAUAAGUCAGCGGUUAAAGUGUGCAGCUUAACUGUAAAAUUGCCGUUGAAACUGUCGGUCUUGAGUGCAAAUGAGGUAGGCGGAAUUUGUUGUGUAGCGGUGAAAUGCUUAGAUAUAACACAGAACUCCGAUUGCGAAGGCAGCUUACUGGGAUGCAACUGACACUGAUGCACGACAGCGUGGGUAUCAAACAGGAUUAGAAACCCCUGUAGUCC